ACGGAGGAGACUAACAGGAUUCCCCUAGUAACUGCGAGUGAAGCGGGAAAAGCUCAAAUUUAAAAUCUGGCGGUUCUUGUAGCCGUCCGAGUUGUAAUUUAGAGAAGUGUUAUCCGCGCUGGACCGUGUACAAGUCUCCUGGAAUGGAGCGUCAUAGAGGGUGAGAAUCCCGUCUUUGACACGGACUACCAGGGCAUUGUGAUGCGCUCUCAAAGAGUCGAGUUGUUUGGGAAUGCAGCUCAAAAUGGGUGGUAAAUUCCAUCUAAAGCUAAAUAUUGAGGAGAGACCGAUAGCGAACAAGUACCGUGAGGGAAAGAUGAAAAGAACUUUGGAAAGAGAGUUAAACAGUACGUGAAAUUGCUGAAAGGGAAACGCUUGAAGUCAGUCGCGUUGUACAGAACUCAGCCUUGCUUUGCUUGGUGUACUUUCUGUGCGACGGGUCAGCAUCAGUUUUGGUCGGCGGAUAAAGGCUUGGAGAAUGUGGCACCCUCGGGUGUGUUAUAGCUUCAGGUUGUAUACGUCGGCUAGGACUGAGGAACUCAGCACGCCGCAAGGCCGGGUUUUUAACCACGUUCGUGCUUAGGAUGCUGGCAUAAUGGCUUUAAUCGACCCGUCUUGAAACACGGACCAAGGAGUCUAACAUGCCUGCGAGUGUUUGGGUGGAAAACCCGAGCGCGUAAUGAAAGUGAAAGUUGAGAUCCCUGUCGUGGGGAGCAUCGACGCCCGGAGCAGACCUUUUGUGACGCAUCCGCGGUAGAGCAUGUAUGUUGGGACCCGAAAGAUGGUGAAC
rnacentral:rRNA from 2 species